rnacentral:rRNA from 1 species
GAUGAACGCUGGCGGCGUGCCUAAUACAUGCAAGUCGAGCGAACAGACGAGGAGCUUGCUCCUCUGACGUUAGCGGCGGACGGGUGAGUAACACGUGGAUAACCUACCUAUAAGACUGGGAUAACUUCGGGAAACCGGAGCUAAUACCGGAUAAUAUAUUGAACCGCAUGGUUCAAUAGUGAAAGACGGUUUUGCUGUCACUUAUAGAUGGAUCCGCGCCGCAUUAGCUAGUUGGUAAGGUAACGGCUUACCAAGGCAACGAUGCGUAGCCGACCUGAGAGGGUGAUCGGCCACACUGGAACUGAGACACGGUCCAGACUCCUACGGGAGGCAGCAGUAGGGAAUCUUCCGCAAUGGGCGAAAGCCUGACGGAGCAACGCCGCGUGAGUGAUGAAGGUCUUCGAAUCGUAAAACUCUGUUAUUAGGGAAGAACAAAUGUGUAAGUAACUAUGCACGUCUUGACGGUACCUAAACAGAAAGCCACGGCUAACUACGUG